rnacentral:rRNA from 1 species
UGAGGAAUAUUGGUCAAUGGACGAGAGUCUGAACCAGCCAAGUAGCGUGCAGGAUGACGGCCCUAUGGGUUGUAAACUGUUUUUGUUUGGGAAUAAUCGACAUUACGUGUAAUGUUUUGCAUGUACCAUUCGAAUAAGGACCGGCUAAUUCCGUGCCAGCAGCCGCGGUAAUACGGAAGGUCCAGGCGUUAUCCGGAUUUAUUGGGUUUAAAGGGAGUGUAGGCGGUUGGUUAAGCGUGUUGUGAAAUGUAGAUGCUCAACAUCUGACUUGCAGCGCGAACUGGCUGACUUGAGUACACGCAACGUAGGCGGAAUUCAUGGUGUAGCGGUGAAAUGCUUAGAUAUCAUGAAGAACUCCGAUGGCGAAGGCGGCUUACGGGAGUGUUACUGACGCUUAAGCUCGAAAGUGCGGGUAUCGAACAGG